GGAGUGCUGGGCCUGUUGUGACUCUUCAGAGACUGGGAUACAGCAGAAGGAUGGUUAGAGACUGAUUCAUCAGGAUCACAAAGAGUUAGGGUGCUUUAAAGAGCACGCACCAUACUAUGGGCAACCACAGACCGCCAUCUUGAGAAACGGGCUUAGAAGACUCUUCAGACGUUUCUGCUUUGAGACAAGCGGGAGAGAGCGAGCAACACAGAGGCUGAGUCUCCGAAAGAGACGGUAAUAAAUGCUGGAGCAGAAGAGCGGGGCUCUG
rnacentral:lncRNA from 1 species